GAGGUUGCCAUUGUAACUUUAUCCUUCCUAUGUUGUUUUCAGGGGAAUUAAAACAUCUUAUUAAUUGGGUAGGCUUGUAAAAUCAUUUCUCAAGGUGAAUACCAGAGAAGAAAUAACAAAAUUUGAUAAGUUAUUUCUUUUUCGGCAUUUAAUUUAUUCAUUUUCAAUUUUCUUUAUAUUUGUGAAACAACAUACUAUCACAACUGGUGUUAGAGAGGGUGUCAGAAAAUGGCAACUCCGGGAUAAGGGGUAGUAAAUACAAGCGUUGGCUUGAAUAGUACGUUAUUACGAUUUCAAAAUACGUACGUGAAUACAUCAUGUACAAUGUAAGUAUACAUAUAUAACUUAUGAAGUAUAUGAAACGAUGACACAUAAGGAUGACUUCCCAUUUCCAAUGACAUUUCUGCUGUCCUCAUUCAUAAUAUAAUUUACAAAAUGUCGAUUACCCCUAUAAUAUUAACUAAGCAUUUUAUGUUCCGUUCCAUUUUCCACUCCACGUUUUAACAACACCCGAUGAUUGUUUACAAACAGCCAUACCACGCGAUCUCUUCGAACCCACGCGGAUUUCAUAUUCAGCAUGCAACAUUUGUUUAUCAAUGUACUUGUCACUGAGUGGAAUGCUGUCUGGCGUGAUUCAUAUCCAAAAAAAACAAAACAAAAAAAACCCCUGCUGUUUGUUACUAUGCCUAUGUCCUUUUUAUGUAUUUAAUUAUUCCUAAGGGUUGUUUUAAAUUGUUUCAUAUGUUAUUAGGGUAAUCAUAUCAUAUCGCUAUAUAUUAAUAAUAAUAUUUAUGCAUUUUAAUUCUGACACUAUGAAUAUUUUAUUCACAUGUAUGUGCACAUCGAUUUUAUAUUAUCUUUUCUUUCACAUUUGUAAAGCGCUUUAGAGAACUAAUGUUGAUAGGGCGCUAUAUAAAUCUUUUAAUUACAAUUACAAUUACAAUUAUUAAUUGAUAAGACAUCUCGGAUCGACUACGCCAAUGUUCUUCGGUAUUAACACAACCGACUUGGCAAAACUGCAGCGGAUACAGAAUAUGGCAGCACGAAUCAUCACUCGUACCAAGAGAAGUGAUCACAUAACUCCAGUGCUGAUUUCUUUACAUUGGCUUCCUAUUGACAGGUGCAGCCAAUACAAUAUUAUCCUCUACUCAUAUAAGGUGAUUCAGAAGAUGGCACCAAAAUACUUGGAGGAGGUGAUCACUGUUUACCAACCAAAUCGUCCCCUAAGAUCUGACAAGUUUAGCUUUUGAAAAACAACUUAGAGAGUCAGCCACUGGAUUUUUAUACCUGUUAGAAUGUAUUUCAGCAUUAGCAAACGUUAUUAUUUCUUUUGGAAGAAAUAAUCUUUUCAGCUUUUAUUUUAAUAGUUAAAGUAACCUGCGUUUCUGGACUGGGUCCGUAGUACAUGAUCAUUACGAUAGAAUAUUCUAUGUAAUAGUGUCACUAAUUCAAAGUAAUCCCUUGCACAGAGCAAAAUGACUUAGAUGAAAGAUGCGACGCAGUUUUCUCUUUUAUACUCAGGUUGCGGACGUUGGUGAAAGCACCCUCGGAUACAGCAUUUAGACAAUGGGUGAGACGCCCUUAUCGCCGAAUUUGUGUUUCCUUGUCCAUUUCAUUAUAUUGUUCCAUAACAGUCUAGCUAUAUUAAAGCCUUUAAUUGAUAUGAUUAAAAAUGAACAUUUGAAAUACAAAAUCUGGCAAGUUUUUAAAGUGCAUGACUUUAAAAAUCAUGAAAUAUUUAAGAAAACAGGUGUAAAAAUGGAUCGUCCGUACAGGUGCCUUGAUUGUUAAAAUGCUUUAAAAAUCUAGAAUACACCAAUGUUUCGCUGCAAAUGUACAUAUGAACGUAAAGAUAAAACUAAUAUUACUCAACGAAAUAGUUUCAGGGGCCAAGCAUCAUAUACAGGGAUCUUAUCUAUAUUGAUAUACUUCGCUGCGUAAAACACAGAUGCAGGGUUCACGGCGGGUGUGUCCGGUCACCAGAUGUCAGGGCCCACGAUGGAUGCUACCGGUCACCUGAUCCAGAUACAGGGCUCACCGUGGAUGUUACCGAUCACCUGAUCCAGAUACAGGGCUCACGGUGGGUGUGGCUGGUCACCUGAACCAGAUACAGGGCUCACGGUGGGUCCGGUGUGGCUGGUCACCUGAUCCAGAUACAGGGCUCAUGGUGGGUGUGGCUGGUCACCUGAUCCAGAUACAGGGCUCAUGGUGAGUGUGGCUGGUCACCUGAUCCAGAUACAGGGCUCACGGUGAGUGUGGCUGGUCACCUGAUCCAGAUACAGGGCUCACGGUGGGUGUGACUGGUCACCUGAACCAGGUACAGGGCUCACGGUGGGUGUGGCUGGUCACCUGAUCCAGAUACAGGGUUCACGGUGAGUGUGGCUGGUCACCUGAUCCAGAUACAGGGUUCACGGUGGGUGUGGCUGGUCACCUGAUCCAGAUACAGGGCUCACGGUGGGUGUGGCUGGUCACCUGAUCCAGAUACAGGGCUCACGGUGAGUGUGGCUGGUCACUUGAUCCAGAUACAGAACUCACAGAGACUGAGUGCACUUACUCCUCCUAGACAUUGGAUACUACCUCUACUGUGUCCAGGAAUCCGUGUUUGCCUCUUUUUAUACCUAGGAAACUGAAUGCAAUUUAUUUCAUCAUGCAUGAUUAUGGUUCACGUAAAACUCACAUUAAUUCAAAUCAUAUUUUCACGAAAAGCAUAAAAUUGUUGCUGUGCUUCAAAAAAUUAGCUUGCAUUUACAAAUCAUUAAACUAUGACUACAGAU